UAUUAUUAGAAAGAAAUCAAUAUCAUUCCAGCCAUUUGCGGCUGAGGGGUUGAAGAAAUUAAAGAUAUGAUUUCUUUUUGGCUGUGGAUUAGAUUUUGGCAUUCCUCAUUCCCGAUUCCCCAUGCGAGGGCCCCAAUGGCAUCAGGUGGAGGAAUUCUACACUGUCACCUGAUGGUGACUCCCACGUCAUGUGACCUCGCUCCGUCCCUCUCUCUCUGUCUCGUAAUAUAUUUCCAUCAUUAAUAGGUUCAGCCCCUCGGAGGUAAAAGCCAAACAUAUGCCAUAAGAGCAUGCAUGCAAUGAGAUAUUAAAACCCAUAAAUUAUGAAUAUUUAUUGUUUAUAUUUAUAGGUGUAAUUAUUAUAUAGUUUAGAGACCAGUCUAGGUUCAUUUAUUUAUAAAUCGCAUUUAAGUAAUUUAUAAAUUUCGAGUGAUAGGCAUAUUAGUUUGACCGCCAAAAUCAAUUACAGCUGGAUUUUUAUUUUAUUUAUAUUAGUGAAGUCGUUGGAUGAUUGCUAAGGGGCUGUUUGGUUGCACGCAUUUGCAACUGCAGUGCAGUUGCAAAUGCGUGCAGCCUCAAUUUCUUUAUUUGGUUUAGUGUAGUUGAGUUCAACUGCUGCAGUUCCAACUACACAAGAAGGUCCAAAUGCUGCAGUUGGAACUACAUCCAAAUUGGCCGUAGUUCUAACUACAGCAGUUGGUGAGGAAUAAGAUCACCCACAAAAUAACAAUAAUAAAUAAAUAAAUAAAUAGCUAAAUAAAUAAAUAAUAUAUGUAUAUAGGUAAAUAAAAAUACUUGUAAAUAAACUCAUACUAAUAAAAUUUUUUAGACAAUACAAGCUUUGUGCAAAAAAUUAAAUUUUUUAAAUUUAUUUUAUUUAAAAUAUAAAUAUAGUUUUUUUAAAAAAUUUUUAUAGAAUGUGAUCGUGUAUGUUAAUUUAAUAAGUUUUAAUUAAUUAUAAUUAUUAAAUUUGAUAAAAAAAAAUGAGAGAAUCGUUUAAAUUUUAAAGUUUGAUUUACAUAUUAAAAUUAAAUAAAUUAAAAAUUUUAAAUGUGUCGAUUAAUAAGUUGAAGAAUAUUAUAUAUAUCUACUUAUUUAUUUAUAAAUAGUAAAUUUAAAUGAUUAAUAAAUUUAUACAAUUAUUUUAUGUUUAGUGAAGGUAAUCUCACCACUCUAUCUGAAAAUGUGACAAAAUUCACAAAUACAACUAUCAGCUUCAUAUUACCAAACAGAAGAAAUGUAACUGCAGCAGUUGUAACUGCGUAAAACCAAACAGACUAGGUGUAGUUACAACUGCAGCAUUUGCAACUGCAUGUAUUUUCAACUAUAUUGUUUCUGCAACUACAUCCAACCAAACAGCCCCUAAGAGUAGGUUUGGUUCCACAUAAAAAUUGCUGGAAGGUUUUUUCACGCUCG
rnacentral:lncRNA from 1 species